GGAAUCUUCGGCAAUGGACGAAAGUCUGACCGAGCAACGCCGCGUGAGUGAAGAAGGUUUUCGGAUCGUAAAACUCUGUUGGUAGAGAAGAACGUUGGUGAGAGUGGAAAGCUCAUCAAGUGACGGUAACUACCCAGAAAGGGACGGCUAACUACGUCCAG
rnacentral:rRNA from 1 species